UUCCAUCUUGCUAGGCAACAGCAUAGCAUCUUCAGAUCUCUGACUCUAUCCCUCUGCUUCCUUCAUCCCAUCUCCUUCUCUGACUCACCUGCCUCUUCUAAGGAUCCAUGUGAUGACACUGGGCUCAACAUCAUUAUCAAGUAUAGCAGCAGUUUCAAACUACCUCGGGGCUAACUUCCUGUAUGGCCCACAUGACGGGUGCUGCAGUCCCAACAUCACAUCCAGACAUGAGAAUGAAAGUCAGCCCCAGAAGCCACAGCGCAAACGCCUCACAUUUCACAGGCCAGAGAGAAGUUCCUAGCCAGCCCUGAAUCAAUCAGUUAGGGGAGAAGGGAGAAGGCAAGCCACAGGGACAAGUCAUAUGACUGAAUUAAACUAAUGGGCUUUUAUUCCUGAGCUGGAGACAA